rnacentral:rRNA from 1 species
GUAUACUAAAGUUGUUGCAGUUAAAAAGCUCGUAGUUGGAUUUCUGGUCUUGGACGGCGGUCCGCCACAAUUGUGGCGCGUACCAACUGUCCGAGUCCAUCCUCGGGGAAGACAUGCCUGUGAUUUAGUUCAUGGGUAUGGAGUCCUCGUCAUUUACUGUGAGCAAAAUAGAGUGUUCAAAGCAGGCUUAUGCCGUUGAAUACAUUAGCAUGGAAUAAUAAGAUAGGACCUUGGUCUAUUUUGUUGGUUUGUACUCCAAGGUAAUGAUUAAUAGGGAUAGUUGGGGGUAUUCGUAUUCAAUUGUCAGAGGUGAAAUUCUUGGAUUUAUGGAAGACGAACUACUGCGAAAGCAUUUACCAAGGAUGUUUUCAUUAAUCAAGAACGAAAGUAAGGGGAUCGAAGAUGAUUAGAUACCAUCGUAGUCUUUACCAUAAACUAUGCCGACUAGGGAUUGGUGGACGUUUGUAACGACUCCAUCAGCACCUUAUGAGAAAUCAAAGUCUUUGGGUUCCGGGGGGAGUAUGGUCGCAAGGCUGAAACUUAAA